rnacentral:rRNA from 1 species
UACGGAGGGAGCUAGCGUUGUUCGGAAUUACUGGGCGUAAAGCGCACGUAGGCGGCUUUGUAAGUUAGAGGUGAAAGCCCGGGGCUCAACUCCGGAACUGCCUUUAAGACUGCAUCGCUUGAAUCCAGGAGAGGUGAGUGGAAUUCCGAGUGUAGAGGUGAAAUUCGAUAGAUAUUCGGAAGAACACCAGUGGCGAAGGCGGCUCACUGGACUGGUAUUGACGCUGAGGCGGACGAAAGCGUGGGGAGCAAACAGG